rnacentral:rRNA from 1 species
AGCAGCCGCGGUAAUUCCAGCUCCAAUAGCGUAUAUUAAAGUUGUUGCAGUUAAAAAGCUCGUAGUUGAAUUUCGGGAUUGGCGCGUCGGUCGUGCCUUAAGGGGUAUGAACUGGCGUCGUCGAUUUCUCACCUUCUGGAGAAACGCGAUGCCCUUAAUUGGGUGUCGUGCGGAACCAGGACCUUUACCUUGAAAAAAUUAGAGUGUUUAAAGCAGGUAUUUUUGCUCGAAUACAUUAGCAUGGAAUAAUAAAAUAGGACGGUUGGUUCUAUUUUGUUGGUUUCUAGGAUCACCGUAAUGAUUAAUAGGGAUAGUUGGGGGCAUUAGUAUUCAAUUGUCUAGAGGUGAAAUUCUUGGAUUUAUUGAAGACUAACUACUGCGAAAGCAUUUGCCAAGGAUGUUUUCAUUAAUCAAGACGAAAGUUAGGGAUCGAAGACGAUCAGAUACCGUCGUAGUCUUAACCAUAAACUAUGCCGACUAGGAAUCAGACGAUGGUUAAUUUUUAAUGUACUCGUUUGGA